rnacentral:rRNA from 1 species
GCCAACGUUCAAAUCACGUUGAAUUGACCAUUUCUCGUCCGAUCAUUGAAGUUAAGCAACGUCGAGCGUGGACAGUACUCGGAUGGGUGACUUAUGAACAAUACAUAUAGUACGUA